rnacentral:rRNA from 1 species
UACGAAGGGGGCUAGCGUUGCUCGGAAUCACUGGGCGUAAAGGGCGCGUAGGCGGACUCUUAAGUCAGGGGUGAAAUCCUGGAGCUCAACUCCAGAACUGCCUUUGAUACUGAGGAUCUUGAGUUCGGGAGAGGUGAGUGGAACUGCGAGUGUAGAGGUGAAAUUCGUAGAUAUUCGCAAGAACACCAGUGGCGAAGGCGGCUCACUGGCCCGAUACUGACGCUGAGGCACGAAAGCGUGGGGAGCAAACAGG